ACAUGAAGCUGGAAUCGCUAGUAAUCGCGAAUCAGAAUGUCGCGGUGAAUACGUUCCCGGGUCUUGUACACACCGCCCGUCACACCAUGGGAGUCGGAAAUGCCCGAAGUCUGUGACCUAACCGUAAGGAAGGAGCAGCCGAAGGCAGGUCGGAUGACUGGGGUGAAGUCGUAACAAGGUAAC
rnacentral:rRNA from 1 species